GUACAGCCAGCAAGGACAACUUCUCGCCAGAUUUCUGGAUGUUAGCGGAUUUAUCUGCAGGUUCUAUUACGUGUGACAUAAAACCACGUGUCAUUAUAGUCACGAUAUCAACAAAGGAAAUGGGGCCAGCUGAUUGGGCGCUACACCGGAGAGCUGCAUUUCAGCUUCAGCUUAUGGAUGGAUGACCUUACAUUCUUCAAGAGGAUUCAUGGUUCUUUCAGCGGAGGCCAGUUGUCCAGAUAUAAUGGAACCCAUGUCAUUCAAAAAGUUGUAGCUUUGACUCAUCGGCCCAUGAACAUUCUUCCGAAAGGCUUGGGGACCGUCCAAGGUGCUUCUUGGCAAACUUGAGACAAGGAUUUAUGAUCUUCAUUGUGAGUGGUGGUUUCAACCAAGGUACUCUACCAAGAAGCCCAGUUUGACCUGCUGUCAUUCUAAUUGUGGAGUCAUGGAAACUCACCAUAGUUGAAGCAAGAAAAGCCUAUAGUUCUGCGGAUGUAAUUUUAUGAUUUAUUUGUGACUGGAUUAUUUUAUUUUGUACUUUUGGAGAGGUAUUGGUAGACUGGUCGGUACUAGGAAGACAUUCUACUGUUCUCUGUUUGGAGAUUAAGGUUCUUUUUUAGACUACUUCUGAAAUGUUGUUUUCCGCUGGUAACUUAAUUCUAAGUAAAGUACAAACUAUCUGUGAGUUAUGUUGAUAAUUUCUAGCUAUAAUCAAGCCUAGCUGUGAUCAGUAAGCUGACUUCUUUUAAUGGGUUGAUUUAAUUAGGAAGUGGGGGGACAAUUUUUUUUACA